rnacentral:lncRNA from 1 species
GUGGGAGAUUAACAGCGGUGCUGAAUAAAUAGGGCACAGGUUUCACGAGAGGCACUCGCCUAUCUUGCUGGGACCACUCGUGGGGAUUUCUUGUCUCUUGUCCCUCCUGCACCGUGUUGCAGAACGUUACAGCCACGGUGGCGUACUGCUCUUCCGGGAUUGUAACACAGCCGUGUAGUUGUUGGCUCCUCAACAUUGUGAGCGUGUACUUGUUGACCUCGCAUUCAGGGAUUUUUCACCAAGGAAGUAGGGCAUUCGUCGGGGUAAGCAAGGUAGCUUGAAUAGGAAGUCACCUUGCAUACUUGUGGAUCCAUGAAUUGCUAUACUCUGUGUAUUUGAAGGUAGACAAAUAAAUUAUCUUUUGUAUCAGAU